UCGACAUUCGAGGAUGUGCUUUCAGUCGUAAGAUUGUGCAUGUGGUAAAUAUUAUGAGCUUUUGUUGUUGAU
rnacentral:ribozyme from 1 species